ACUGGGUGUGGUGGUAGAUGCCUGUAGACCUAGCUACUCAGGAGGCUGAGAUGAGAGGAUUGCUUGAGCCUGGGAGUUCUGGGCUGUAAUGCACUAAGCUGACUGGGCAUCCGCACUAAGUUCCACAUUAAUAUGGCGACCUUUCAGUAAUUGGGGACAACCAGGUUGCUUAAGCAGCGGAUACCUACGUAGCCCAGGUCAGAAACAAAGCAGGUCAAAAUUCUUGUGCUGAUCAUUGGUGGGAUCACACCCGUGAAUAACCACUGCACUCCAGCCUUGGAAUGUAACAAGACCCUAUCUCCU
ensembl:misc_RNA Metazoa_SRP Metazoan signal recognition particle RNA